CAGUUGACGUACGUACGGAUUGAC
rnacentral:miRNA from 1 species